GCCGAAUUGAAGGAAACAUCGAGAAGUUACGUGCAGAGCGUGAGAAAACACCGGAAAAGGAUUCUACGGUGGCUACGUGUACGGAGAGUAGCCCACCUAUGCCUCUUGCUCCGUAUGUGUUGAAGAGGAAAAGGAGGUUGGUUGAUGAAUCUGAGGAUGAUUUGGUGAGAAAGCUUGAGUUCGAGGAGAGGGAUGUGGAAGAAGGUGUUGCUGGGAGGACGAGAAGCCGGAGGAACGAAGAUGCUGAUGCGGUUAAUAAGAAGAAAGCUAAAAGUGAAAUGAAGACGAAGAGUUUGGAGAAAAUUGAAUCAGUGAAGAGAACUUCGCCUAGAUUGUUGAAGCGCCGGUCGCCUUGAAGGUGUUUGAUCAUUUGUCUCAAUGAGUGAGAAGUUGUUUGUUGAAGUACAGUGA
rnacentral:misc_RNA from 1 species